rnacentral:rRNA from 1 species
AUUAGUUAAGAUCUUUAAAUCUAAAGAAUUUGGCGGUAUCUUAAUCUAUUCAGAGGAACCUACCCCGUUAUUGAUAGUACACGAUUAACUUUACUUAAUUUAUUUGUUUGUAUAUCUCCGUUAUCAGAAAAUCUUUUUAGAGUUAUAAUUUUCUUAAUUUAUAAUUAUAAAAUAUUUCAGGUCAAGGUGCAGCUUAUGAUUAAGAGGAGGUGGGUUACAAUAGAUUUUUUUUAUAUGAAUUUGAUAAUGAAACAUUGUUAAUGAAGGUGGAUUUGAUGGUAAAUUAAUUUAUUUAAUUUAAUUGAUAUUAGCUCUGAGGUGUGUACACAU